UACAGAGGUCCCAAGCGUUGUUCGGAUUCAUUGGGCGUAAAGGGUUCGUAGGCGGCGCGGUAGGUCGGGUGUGAAAUCUCGGGGCUUAACUCCGAAACUGCAUUCGAUACUGCCGUGCUUGAGGACUGGAGAGGAGACUGGAAUUUACGGUGUAGCGGUGAAAUGCGUAGAUAUCGUAAGGAAGACCAGUGGCGAAGGCGGGUCUCUGGACAGUUCCUGACGCUGAGGCACGAAGGUCAGGGGAGCAAACGGG
rnacentral:rRNA from 1 species